rnacentral:lncRNA from 1 species
GCAAAACUUCUGGAAGGCCUUCAGACUGUGUUGUCUUCAGAGAAGCAGACAAGCUGGUGAUCUGCCCUGGCAGAAGGUGCAGGCCGGAAGGCUCCAAUUAAUUUUUUAAUAUCUAAUAUAUCUGGAUGCACAGUAAAUCCUUGAGAAGUUAAUCUACUUCUCCACAAGAUUAUUCCUACUGUCUCUUUAGGUAAAGGGCCACACACACCAGUGGUUAACUUAAAACAUUCAACUUUUGGGAAUAAUGUAAGAGGGGUAUCUGUGGUCAAGUCCAAAGCUGCACUUCCUUCUAUUAGGUACCACUUGUAGGCUUAGAUUUUUCAAAAUGUUCUUUAAUAAGGAUUAUUAACUGUUUCAAAUUUCCUUAUUGUCUACAGAGCAACUAUAGAGGAGAAAGAUGGUUAAUAGGACAAGGGGGAUGUGAUGGUUUGUAUAUGCUUGGUCCAGGGAGUGGCACCGUUGGAAGGUGAGGCCUUGUUAAAGUAGGUGUGGCCUUGUGGGUGUGGGCUUUAAUACUCUUGUCCUAGCUAUCUAACAAGUAUUCUGCAAACAGCCUUCAGAUGAAGACAUAGAACUCUCAGCUCCUGCCUGCACUAUGCCUGCCUGGAUGUUGCCAUGUACCCACCUUGAUAAUGGACUGACACUCUGAACCGGAUAUCAGCAUUCCAAUCCAAAUCAGUAGUGGCAGUCCCUUCCAAUCAUCAAAUAUCAAGCACAAAUCAGUAGCAGCUGCUCAGUCCAGAAGGAAUCAUGAGACUCCAUCAAACUGGCAUGAGUCUGAAGAAGAAGCAAAAAGCAGACAGAAUAUCAUGAGAAGUAUUCUGGCAUGUUUCUCUCUAUGAAGACACAACAAGUGAUGAUCAGAAAAGGCCACCAAAACAUUACAAGGCAUACCAAUGCGAAAGUGUUGUUAGGGAAGACCAGUGAUGCAUUAUAAAGUGAACCAAUGCAAGAUUGUCAUUCAUUGUUGGGUUCUACUUAUACUCUUUCUAAACAUUACAUGUUCUCUCAAGUGUCUGCCUCAGCAAAACAUCCUCUCACAAGACAGCUGUCAGAAAAAUAUCACAUGACACAACUGAGUCUCCAAAGUAACCAGAGAUUUCCAUUCCAAGUAAACUCCUGAAUUUAGGCACAUCGUCCUAAGAUUUCAGGUCCAGCGCAGCAAGGGGUGGUCCAUCAGUGAGUCAUUCCCAACUUCCUUUAGUCAGUACUUCAGGUGCUGGGAACACAGGCCUAGGAGCACAACAUAAGGGCAGGAAAGGAGUGAGGUAUCAUUUUAUCUGCCAUCCAAGAAGAUCACUUGCAUGGAUUGGAGGAAAAAGUGACCUGCCCUGGCAUUUAAAAGUCUGGGAUAUGGAGGCUGUAAGACAGUGCAGCAUGAAGAUGAUACUUGGUGGUGAAUAUCGCCAUUGUUGAGUGGAUUUUGUCAAAUGGAAGGGAUGCAGUGUAGUCCUCUGCUGUCUGUCCCACCACCAUAGGAGAACAUUUGUACAACACCACCAUAGGAGAAUGGCCAUGGGUAGUUGUAAUUUAUCUGGGACCUGUGUGGACAUCCCAAAGUGUAUGUGUCAGAGGAUAACAGUAUGGAGGACUCAUGGUAGAGUCACUUUCAAGAUGUGCGGUGAACAGCCCUUUCUUGAAGUCCUAGAUCCUCAGAUGGGAGAAGGACCCACACUAAAUGGGUCUUGCAGAAAGGAGCUCAGUAAAUAGCUGAUGGCCAUAGGACAGACUCAUCUUCAGUCUGGAUGCGGUGUGAGCUGCAACUGUACAGGCCUAAGGCAAAGACAGACCUUGGUGCAUCCUGCUAAGGGUGUGAUUGAACAGACCCUGUAUUCAUGGUUAUUAGUCAUUUUAUUAAGACUUUUUUCUUUUGCCAACUCAGAGUAGAGUUAGAUGUUUAAUCCAAAAGAAAGUGCCCUGGAGUGUUGGGGGUCCAGCUUCAACAUUGGAAUUCUUAACCGGAAGCAGGGAUAUCUGGUAGGCACAUAAUAAACAGACACAGGCUAGUUUUUUUUGGGUACAAACCGACAGGCAAUAUUUCAAGGCUUAAAGUUGUGCUCUCUCUCUGUCCUCUUUCUCUCACUUGAUCGCUCACAGCUUGAGGCUGCACACACUCUGAAUUCACCUGCACACUCUGCGUUUCUUUUGUGUGCUUUUCUGUCCUCAAACUCCCACACUCCUACAGACCUCUGUACGCUCCCCUUUCAUGCACACACACUUUUUACACACACCUCACACAUACCAUAUGCACUCUCCUUUCACUCACACACUCUUCUCACACUCUCUCACAUUCUCUCCACUCACUCUCCACUCACCUCCUGCGCACCUCACUCUCUCUCGAUCCACUCGCUCCCCACUUGCUCUCUUGCCUUUUUCUUGCCCCAGUCUUUUAUUGAUACUCCAAAACAUUCUCAAGUGUUGUGCAAAACUUAUUUCAUAACCUCAGGUAGAAAAAAGAACGUUGUAUAAUCAUUGCC